UUGGACACCAGAGCCUGACACACUCACCCCAGAGGCACAGCCUGCUCCACCAGCCUGCUCCUGUGAGCCAGUGGAAGACCUCAAAUAUCUUUUCAAAAGGAUCACCUUGUACAGCACCAGAGGGUUAUUAAUUCCGACAAUUUGGGGUUUCAUCUGGGCCUUCCCCAAGGAGACCCAUCCUGCUGCCUCAUUGUGGCAGCCCCAAGGUUCAGCUGAUGGUGGCAACUUUCCAGAUCUGUGAAUCAACUUGGACUCCUGAAUUUCUUGACAAUACAGGUCAGGACCUGCAGGCUACCAAAUGGUGCCUCAAUCUCCCACGAAGGAUAUGGGCAGAGACUGACAAAGUGAAGAAGAAUCAAAGUGCAAGAAACCUCCAAGGCAAUGGGGAGGGGUUGAGCUCCUAAUAAAGCACAGUCAACCAAAAGAGAAAAAUGGGAAAUAAAGUCAGCAAAGAGGGGGGCCAGAGAACAAAGGCCCAGGAUGAAAUACCU